rnacentral:lncRNA from 1 species
UGCAUUUCAAACAGUUCCAGAUUAGACCACGAUAAAACGUACAUGAACUCUGCACCAUUAGUGUUACCAGGUAUAGGGGCAGAGAUUCAGAAGACAUGUGAUGAAACCUGAUGCUGAUUACAACGAAUGGAUUUACACUGAAGAUCAGCUGGAAUAAUUUGGCCCCUAAAAACAGAGGCAGAUUCUAAACACUGCUCUCCUGGCUCCGUUCAUCCCUUGGCAGGAAGGAAGGCAGGAGCAAACAUCUUGGACAACAGGGCUGCACAACAUGUCAGUGUGCUUGAGAUCAUUUCUGCAUUUUGCACCUAAAAGACAACACACUGCUAACAACUUUCUCAGCAGGCAUCAGGAGCAGGGAGGGGAAGGAAACUGCAGCAGGCACUCCUGAGGGACUGAAGAGCAAUGACGGCUUCUAUCUGAAGAAUGCUGAGAAAAUCUAAAAAGUUAUUUUAAAGCUUCUGAAGAAUUAAUAGAACGAUGUACGUAAACGUCCUCUCAGAAAUAUCAGAAUCCAGGGUGGGGUUUUACAGAAGUUGGAGAGGUACGAGAACUGAGGCUGAUGGCUG